rnacentral:rRNA from 1 species
AUUGAACGCUGGCGGCAUGCCUUACACAUGCAAGUCGAACGGCAGCACGGGGGCAACCCUGGUGGCGAGUGGCGAACGGGUGAGUAAUACAUCGGAAUGUACCCAGUAGUGGGGGAUAACUAGUCGAAAGAUUAGCUAAUACCGCAUACGCACUAUGGUGGAAAGCGGGGGAUCGCAAGACCUCGCGCUAUUGGAGCAGCCGAUGUCCGAUUAGGUAGUUGGUGGGGUAAAGGCCUACCAAGCCUGCGAUCGGUAACUGGUCUGAGAGGACGACCAGUCACACUGGGACUGAGACACGGCCCAGACUCCUACGGGAGGCAGCAGUGGGGAAUUUUGGACAAUGGGGGAAACCCUGAUCCAGCAAUGCCGCGUGUGUGACG